rnacentral:rRNA from 1 species
GGGUUGUGAGGUUAAGCGACUAAGCGUACACGGUGGAUGCCCUGGCAGUCAGAGGCGAUGAAGGACGUGCUAAUCUGCGAUAAGCGUCGGUAAGGUGAUAUGAACCGUUAUAACCGGCGAUUUCCGAAUGGGGAAACCCAGUGUGAUUCGUCACACUAUCAUUAACUGAAUCCAUAGGUUAAUGAGGCGAACCGGGGGAACUGAAACAUCUAAGUACCCCGAGGAAAAGAAAUCAACCGAGAUUCCCCCAGUAGCGGCGAGCGAACGGGGAGCAGCCCAGAGCCUGAAUCAGUGUGUGUGUUAGUGGAAGCGUCUGGAAAGGCGCGCGAUACAGGGUGACAGCCCCGUACACAAAAAUGCACAUGCUGUGAGCUCGAUGAGUAGGGCGGGACACGUGGUAUCCUGUCUGAAUAUGGGGGGACCAUCCUCCAAGGCUAAAUACUCCUGACUGACCGAUAGUGAACCAGUACCGUGAGGGAAAGGCGAAAAGAACCCCGGCGAGGGGAGUGAAAAAGAACCUGAAACCGUGUACGUACAAGCAGUGGGAGCACGCUUAGGCGUGUGACUGCGUACCUUUUGUAUAAUGGGUCAGCGACUUAUAUUCUGUAGCAAGGUUAACCGAAUAGGGGAGCCGAAGGGAAACCGAGUCUUAACUGGGCGUUAAGUUGCAGGGUAUAGACCCGAAACCCGGUGAUCUAGCCAUGGGCAGGUUGAAGGUUGGGUAACACUAACUGGAGGACCGAACCGACUAAUGUUGAAAAAUUAGCGGAUGACUUGUGGCUGGGGGUGAAAGGCCAAUCAAACCGGGAGAUAGCUGGUUCUCCCCGAAAGCUAUUUAGGUAGCGCCUCGUGAAUUCAUCUCCGGGGGUAGAGCACUGUUUCGGCAAGGGGGUCAUCCCGACUUACCAACCCGAUGCAAACUGCGAAUACCGGAGAAUGUUAUCACGGGAGACACACGGCGGGUGCUAACGUCCGUCGUGAAGAGGGAAACAACCCAGACCGCCAGCUAAGGUCCCAAAGUCAUGGUUAAGUGGGAAACGAUGUGGGAAGGCCCAGACAGCCAGGAUGUUGGCUUAGAAGCAGCCAUCAUUUAAAGAAAGCGUAAUAGCUCACUGGUCGAGUCGGCCUGCGCGGAAGAUGUAACGGGGCUAAACCAUGCACCGAAGCUGCGGCAGCGACGCUGAUGCGUUGUUGGGUAGGGGAGCGUUCUGUAAGCCUGUGAAGGUGUGCUGUGAGGCAUGCUGGAGGUAUCAGAAGUGCGAAUGCUGACAUAAGUAACGAUAAAGCGGGUGAAAAGCCCGCUCGCCGGAAGACCAAGGGUUCCUGUCCAACGUUAAUCGGGGCAGGGUGAGUCGACCCCUAAGGCGAGGCCGAAAGGCGUAGUCGAUGGGAAACAGGUUAAUAUUCCUGUACUUGGUGUUACUGCGAAGGGGGGACGGAGAAGGCUAUGUUGGCCGGGCGACGGUUGUCCCGGUUUAAGCGUGUAGGCUGGUUUUCCAGGCAAAUCCGGAAAAUCAAGGCUGAGGCGUGAUGACGAGGCACUACGGUGCUGAAGCAACAAAUGCCCUGCUUCCAGGAAAAGCCUCUAAGCAUCAGGUAACAUCAAAUCGUACCCCAAACCGACACAGGUGGUCAGGUAGAGAAUACCAAGGCGCUUGAGAGAACUCGGGUGAAGGAACUAGGCAAAAUGGUGCCGUAACUUCGGGAGAAGGCACGCUGAUAUGUAGGUGAAGCGACUUGCUCGUGGAGCUGAAAUCAGUCGAAGAUACCAGCUGGCUGCAACUGUUUAUUAAAAACACAGCACUGUGCAAACACGAAAGUGGACGUAUACGGUGUGACGCCUGCCCGGUGCCGGAAGGUUAAUUGAUGGGGUCAGCGCAAGCGAAGCUCUUGAUCGAAGCCCCGGUAAACGGCGGCCGUAACUAUAACGGUCCUAAGGUAGCGAAAUUCCUUGUCGGGUAAGUUCCGACCUGCACGAAUGGCGUAAUGAUGGCCAGGCUGUCUCCACCCGAGACUCAGUGAAAUUGAACUCGCUGUGAAGAUGCAGUGUACCCGCGGCAAGACGGAAAGACCCCGUGAACCUUUACUAUAGCUUGACACUGAACAUUGAGCCUUGAUGUGUAGGAUAGGUGGGAGGCUUUGAAGUGUGGACGCCAGUCUGCAUGGAGCCGACCUUGAAAUACCACCCUUUAAUGUUUGAUGUUCUAACGUUGACCCGUGAUCCGGGUUGCGGACAGUGUCUGGUGGGUAGUUUGACUGGGGCGGUCUCCUCCUAAAGAGUAACGGAGGAGCACGAAGGUUGGCUAAUCCUGGUCGGACAUCAGGAGGUUAGUGCAAUGGCAUAAGCCAGCUUGACUGCGAGCGUGACGGCGCGAGCAGGUGCGAAAGCAGGUCAUAGUGAUCCGGUGGUUCUGAAUGGAAGGGCCAUCGCUCAACGGAUAAAAGGUACUCCGGGGAUAACAGGCUGAUACCGCCCAAGAGUUCAUAUCGACGGCGGUGUUUGGCACCUCGAUGUCGGCUCAUCACAUCCUGGGGCUGAAGUAGGUCCCAAGGGUAUGGCUGUUCGCCAUUUAAAGUGGUACGCGAGCUGGGUUUAGAACGUCGUGAGACAGUUCGGUCCCUAUCUGCCGUGGGCGCUGGAGAACUGAGGGGGGCUGCUCCUAGUACGAGAGGACCGGAGUGGACGCAUCACUGGUGUUCGGGUUGUCAUGCCAAUGGCACUGCCCGGUAGCUAAAUGCGGAAGAGAUAAGUGCUGAAAGCAUCUAAGCACGAAACUUGCCCCGAGAUGAGUUCUCCCUGACUCCUUGAGAGUCCUGAAGGAACGUUGAAGACGACGACGUUGAUAGGCCGGGUGUGUAAGCGCAGCGAUGCGUUGAGCUAACCGGUACUAAUGAACCGUGAGGCUUAACCUUACAACGCCGAAGCUGUU